CGCGUAGGCGGGUUAUUAAGUCAGCUGUGAAAGCCCAGGGCUUAACCUUGGAACUGCAGUUGAUACUGGUGACCUAGGGUACAGUAGAGGAAGGUGGAAUUUCAGGUGUAGCGGUGAAAUGCGUAGAGAUCUGAGGGAACAUCAGUGGCGAAGGCGGCCUUCUGGACUGAUACUGACGCUGAGGUGCGAAAGCGUGGGGAGCAAACA
rnacentral:rRNA from 1 species